AGUGCGUACUAGGUUCUUCGGCUUUUCGUCGGUUUUCUUGUUGUGGCCUUUAUUGGUGGCGGCAAGUGGCUGACAAUUUUACUUUGAACAAAUCAGAGUGCUCAAAACAGGCGUUUCGCUUGUAUGUUUUUGCAUGGAAUAAUAGAAUAUGACUUCGGUCUAGUUUUAUUGGUUUUAUUGAUCGUUGUAAUGAUUAAAAGAGACAAACGGGGGCAUUCGUAUUGUUGCGUGAGAGGUGAAAUUCUUGGACCGCAGCAAGACGACCUACAGCGAAAGCAUUUGCCAAGCUUGUCUUCGUUAAUCAAGAACGAAAGUCAGAGGAUCGAAGGUGAUCAGAUACCGCCCUAGUUCUGACCGUAAACGAUGCCAACUAGCGAUUCGCCGGUGGAAUAUUUGCCCUGGCGAGGAGCUUCCCGGAAACGAAAGUCUUCCGGUUCCGGGGGAAGUAUGGUUGCAAAGCUGAAACUUAAAGGAAUUGACGGAAGGGCACCACCAGGAGUGGAGCCUGCGGCUUAAUUUGACUCAACACGGGAAAACUCACCCGGCCCGGACACUAUAAGGAUUGACAGAUUGAUAGCUCUUUCAUGAUUUGGUGGAUGGUGGUGCAUGGCCGUUCUUAGUUCGUGGAGUGAUUUGUCUGGUUUAUUCCGAUAACGAGCGAGACUCUAGCCUACUAAAUAGUUCGCUCAUUGUUUAUUGUGUAGCGGUACUUCCUAGAGGAAUUUUCGG
rnacentral:rRNA from 1 species